UUUUAUAAAUCUUAUUAAUACAUUUUAACGUAUAGUUAAUUAUAUUUAAAUAGAAUUUACGAAUUUUAGAAAUAAAAAUGUAAUUAACGAAUAUUUAUUUUUAUACGUUUUAAAUAUUUCAACGAUUUAUGAAAUUAAAAUAAUUUUAGAAUUUCAUGUUGAAAAUAAAUCGAAUUACAAAACCGAUUGAAUUUAGAGAACGUUCCUAAUCGAUUUUGGAAUGAAAUCCUAAAACUAAGUUCCUAAUUCUAGCCCACUUUGGUAAAGCCCAUUGUGAUAAACCUAAACCCCCAUAAUCUCAUCUCACGUGAAACCAAAGAAACAACAAAAGAAAAAUCUCUCUCCUUCAUCCUUCACCCUUCACGUGAACCCUCAAACCCUCAAACCUUGCAGCCGCCAGCCACCAGCCACCGCACACCGCCUGCACCACCCUCGCCGUCGGCGUCUCCUCCUUCGUCCGCAACCACCACCCACCUACGAAACUGACCGCGACAGCCACCGUCCUGUGUCGUCGCCGACCAACCAGCACCAACUUCGCAAUCCUUCCACACGCAAACAGUCCUCCCUUUGGCUUGUUCCUUGCUCACGGCACCACCACCAACGACCCGAGCAACCCUCGCUGCCACCAUCGACAGCCGCCACCGCCGCUGCCGCGCCAUCUCCGACCGCCGUCCAACCACUCUUCAUUCUUUCUUUUGGUGGAGAAUUCUCCGUAGGCGACUUUUGAAUUCUUAAAGUGGUCUCGCAUUUUGUUUACACAAGUCUCUAAGGAUCAAUAAGCGUUGCCCAUCUACAGGUUUGAAGAUGAUGCAUCAUUGGGAUCGGGAUUAGAGAGCUUGUAGUUCAUUUGAUUUUCUAAGUUGGAUUUGGUUUGUUUAAGUGGACUCUAAAACUUAUUGAAUUAGUAACAUUAACUUUGUUUUUCGUUGAUUGGUUUUUGGGAUUUAUUCUGAAAAUGAUUAUUUAUAAACCUACAGUUAGUUUUAUGUUUUCCGCUGCAAAAUUCUGAAUAAGCCGUUACGUUUUCACACGGGCGAUAAUGCCUUGAUAAUUCUCUACGUUUUAUAUUAAAAUGUUCUUUUAGAAAAGAGAGAAUUGUCGGGGUGUUACAAAGUGGUAUCUAGAAGCUAAGGUUUUACUUAACAAUUUUUUUAGGCGCCUAACUAUCUAGUUAUUUAAAAUAAAUUUCUUAAAAAUCGAGCUUCUACGUAUUAUAGUGUUCAAAAAUUGGUACUUUUUUUGGGGGGGCCGAUUUCCUUUUAUCUUGUUUGAAAGUAUAUAAUAUUUCUUAUUUAAGUUCGGAAUUAACUUAUUUAUUCGAAACUUUUUGUUUAUGUGAAUUAAGUACGUUUUUCUUUAUUUUCGAAAUUAAAUUAAAUAUAUUCGAAAAAAAUAAAAUAAAAAAAAAUCUUAUUCCUUAAGUAUAUUUAUUCGUUUAAUAUUUAUUCGCUUAAUAAAUAUGUAUUCGUUUAUUAUUUAUUCGUUUAAUAAAAAUUUCUUAUUAAUUAUUCGUUUUAAAAAAAUAAAUAAAAAUAUAUUCUUUAUUUUAUUUAUUCGUUUAUUAUUAAUUCGUUUAAUAAACUUUUUCUUACUAAUCGUUCUUGUUUUAUUCUUUAAAUUCUUCAAUGUUUGACCUAUUAUGAUUUAUUAUGAGAGAUGGGUAAUAUAGGAAAGGGCAUAUAGGAUAGAAUUAUAUGUGCAUUAGUAGUUAAUUGCUAACAUAAGAAGUUAAUUGCUAUGUGCAUGUGUUAAAUGUUUAAGUGUUGCAUGUAAAUGUGCAUAGAAAUUGUUUGAUUCCACCAAACUUAUUGUUUUAUUGAAUUCUGAUUAUGCUUUGGUUGGGAAAUCGUUAGUAAGAUCUUAAGUUGUUUGUUUCUUGAAUAAAACGCUUCUUUCCAAGUACACCAACAUAGGAUCCUUUGAGAAGAUCGACGAAUACUGAGGAUCUAGAUUUCACUUCACAAAUUUCCAAGGAAAGAACAGAUAGACAAGAUGCCUUAAACAUUUGAAGUUGUAAUAGUUAGUUUGUUCUUAAAUGUUUUGGAGAAUAAGUAGCAAAGCUACAACAGUUUAAAGUUAAAGCAAUAAGAGUUUGAGUUAUUCUUUAUUCUUUUCAAGGAUGUAUUAAACCUUUAUAGAAUUAGCAAUAAAAGUUAAAGUAUUCGUUUCCAAUGUGAGAAUUCCAUAAUUCGCCAACAAUAGUUUAUAUUUAUAUCAUAGAACUUUUAUUUUAUUUUGAGGACAAGUGUGUUGUUAAUAUUUAGGGAUUGUUAUACUCAUUCUUUUGAGGAAUAAAAGUUAGAUCAUUGAUUAUCCAAAGGACCAAGAGUUUAUUUUGGGCACGCAAAGGGAAUGUUUUCUUCUUUUUCUACCUUAUUAUUUGUGAUGAUUGAAUUUGAUCCUUGUUUCUUAGUUGAAUGUCCGGUAUGCGAAUAUCAUUCAUAAAUGAUUGUUUAUGUAUGUGAAUUCUGGAUGCUGGUGUGAUAUUACAUUGCUAGGAUAAUGUUAAGUGAAGUUUCGAACGUAAAAUAGAAUAUAUUACUUACAGGUCGCGCUUUAGGAUGGCCAACAAUAAUGACCUAGCUGCUGCUAUUCGCCUCUUGGCGGAAAAACUAGCCCAGGAAAGAACUGAGCGCCCCGAUUCUGCAGGGAACAUGUUUGAAAGGUUUGCGAAAGUUAAGCCACCAUACUUCAAGGGGCAAGCAGAACCGACCUUCCUAGAACACUGGAUUAGGGAGUUUGAACGGUAAAUUGUCCUGAAAAUAUGAAAGUAGGUCAAGCUGUCCUUUACCUAAAAGAUGAGGCCGAUCUAUGGUGGAAAGAAAAUAGAACUAAGCUAAGUGUUGUUGAAGGAUUUAAUUGGGACUCAUUUGUUGUUGCAUUGAGGGAAAAGUUUUAUCCUCCUUUUAUAACAAAACGAAAAGCGCAGGAAUUCAUAAACCUUGGGAUGGGGAGUAUGACCAUCGCUGAAUAUUAUAGCAAAUUUAUAGCGAUGUCGAGGAUCGCACCUGAAGUUGUAGCCACAGAAGAGAUAAAGGCUCAGAGGUUUGAGCAAGGGUUGACCGAUGAGUUCCAGUUGGGAUUAGGUGGAGAAAUCUUUACCUCUUUAGAUAAUGUGUAUAAGAGAACCGCUCAUAUUUACGGUUUGCAGUCCAUAAGGGACGCGAAAAAUGUUGUUGGGGAGAAAAGAAAAGAGUUUAAUGUCCAGAAAAACCAAGGGAAUUUCAGGAGGAAUAUGAAUGAGAAUAGGAAUGAAAAUGGAAAUGGAAAUUUUCGAGGAGGAAACAGUCAGGGGCACAACAAUAGGAGUAAAUCCGAGAGAGUGUAUCACUGCAAGAGGUGCAACAAUAACCACCCUGGGAAGGACUGUAAAGGAAAAUUGGUGAAUUGCCACUAUUGUCAGAAAAGGGGGCAUAGAGAGUUUGAGUGCUUCAUUAAGCACAGAAAGGAACAAAAUAGUAAUGGAGGUGGGAACCAAGAGAGGUUUAACCAGUCUGGAGAUCAAAAUUCAAAGCCUGGAGGGGCACAAAACAAUCAAGAGAACUAUAAUAAGCCUGCAAAUGAUAACAACAACCAGGAUAAGGCUCCGGGCAAACUAUUCAUGAUGAGUAGAAAUGAAGCUGAACGUUCUGCAGACGUAGUUCAUGGUACUUUUUUUUAAUUAAUUUUGUGCUAGUUAAACAUUAUUUGAUUCGGUAGCAACUUAUUCUUUCAUUUUGUCAUUUGUUAUUAAAAGUCUGAAAUUAGUAGAUUUUGAAUGUUUCAUUUACCUGUUAUUAUGCCCACCGGGGUAACCAUAAGGUGUAUAAGAUUAUUUAAGAACUUGCCUUUGAAGACAAAAGAUUGCGUUUUCCCUUCUGAUUGGACAAAAGUUUAAUUUUAGGGACCUAGAUGUAAUUCCAGGGACGGAUUGACUAAGUUUUUCCAAGGCUAAGAUAGACUGUGAAAUUUAGAGAGUAAUUUUAAGGAACCUUGUUGGGAAAUUGACCUCAUGUAGAUGUUUUGAGAAGUCCAAGAACCUUUAGUUAUUUCUGUAAUGCGAGUGAGGAAAUGGACGAAUAGAGAGUGUGAGCUAUUUUUUUCUGUAGUGUGCUAGUUGGGAGUAAAUAAGUUGGAGUGAAGAUCGAGGAUGUUCCCAGUGUGAAUGAAUUCAUUGAUGUGUUUCCGAGUGGAAUUGCGAGUAUGUCACCAACUAGAGCAUUUGAGUUCACUAUAGAGUUAAAUCCUGAAACGACACCUAUAUCUGAAACACCGUAUAGCAAGGAAUGAGAAAGAGCAUGGUAAACACUUGAGAGUUAUUUUGGAGACGCUUAGAAAGAAUCUAGUUUUAUAUGGAUGAAGUAUACAAAUCUUGAAGUCAUGUGGGUAUAAGUGACACUGGCGGAAUAGUGAAGGACUAAAUUGAUUGAAAACUACGUUACUUAAGGGAAUAAAUUUAAGAGAAGAUUCGAGUGGUCCAGGAUCGUUAGAAAUCAUUUGGCAUCUUAAAAAGAUGAAAAGAAAUAUAUGAAUUGGUGAAAGAGCUAGGGGUUGUGCCCAAAAGUUAUACAUAUCCAUGAAAGGCAUAAUGAGGUUUGGUAAAAAGGAAAAGUUGACCAGAAGGAGUCUCUGUAGAUCCUGCUAAGAUUAGAGAGGUGAGUGAGUGACCUAUUCCAAGAACGUGUAUGUAUCUAAAGUUUUUUAGGCCUAGAUGACCAUUAUAGGAUGUUGUGAAAGACUUUUCGAAGAGAGAAAAACCAUUGACCAACUUGUUGAAAAAGGAAUCGAAAUUCAAGUGAAGUGAGAAAUGUGAGGAAGCUUUUUAGAUUUAGCUUUUGUCGCGUCAAUUGAAACCUUAUAAGGCUAAUUACCAAACCAAUGACCUAGAGUUAGCUGUUAUGGUGUUAUCUACGAAUAUUUGGAGACAUUACCUUUAUAGAGCAACAUGUAAGAUCCUUACCGAGAACAAAAGUCUGAAAUUUUGGCAAUAAGGUCCAGUUGAAUCUUUGGGACAACAUUGAAAAUGAAUAUUUCUUUCCACCCUGCAACCGAUAGACAGAUUGAGAUUACUAACGGAAUUUAUGUUGAAAACCGGUGUUAUUGACUUUAAGGGUAAUUGGGAAGGCCACCUAGGUUCGAUUGAAUUUUCGUGCAUCAAUAGUUACCAUGCAAGCAUUACGAUGUCACAUGUUGAGGCACUGUAUGGAAAGAAUUGUAGAAGUCUUACUUGUUGGAAUGAGUUUAGUGAGAAUAUUGUAUUGAGGACAUAAUUCGUUGAGGAAGAAAUACCCAAAGUUAUUCCCUGAGAUGAGUUACGAGGGCGUAACUCGUUUUCUUUAAGAGAGGUAGAAUGCGAUAUAAAUUUGCGCUUCUUACCUAAUUUUAUGGUGUUUUUAUGCAUUUUUAUGCUUAUUUUAGCAAAUUAUACAUGUCGAUGCAAGUAAAUAGAUUCUCCGCGUAAGAAAAAGGUGUUCAUGAGUAAUUCAAGAAACUUUAAGUUGGCAAAAGAGUGUACAUAAAUGCCACAAGUACUUCUACAAUAAGAAUAAGUUCAAAAGUUUGGAAAGAUAUGUGAAUUUUCGUGUCAAGUUUCGGGACGAAACUUCUUUUAAGAGGGGUAGAUUGUAAUCCCCCGUAAUUUUAUAAAUCUUAUUAAUACAUUUUAACGUAUAGUUAAUUAUAUUUAAAUAGAAUUUACGAAUUUUAGAAAUAAAAAUGUAAUUAACGAAUAUUUAUUUUUAUACGUUUUAAAUAUUUCAACGAUUUAUGAAAUUAAAAUAAUUUUAGAAUUUCAUGUUGAAAAUAAAUCGAAUUACAAAACCGAUUGAAUUUAGAGAACGUUCCUAAUCGAUUUUGGAAUGAAAUCCUAAAACUAAGUUCCUAAUUCUAGCCCACUUUGGUAAAGCCCAUUGUGAUAAACCUAAACCCCCAUAAUCUCAUCUCACGUGAAACCAAAGAAACAACAAAAGAAAAAUCUCUCUCCUUCAUCCUUCACCCUUCACGUGAACCCUCAAACCCUCAAACCUUGCAGCCGCCAGCCACCAGCCACCGCACACCGCCUGCACCACCCUCGCCGUCGGCGUCUCCUCCUUCGUCCGCAACCACCACCCACCUACGAAACUGACCGCGACAGCCACCGUCCUGUGUCGUCGCCGACCAACCAGCACCAACUUCGCAAUCCUUCCACACGCAAACAGUCCUCCCUUUGGCUUGCUCCUUGCUCACGGCACCACCACCAACGACCCGAGCAACCCUCGCUGCCACCAUCGACAGCCGCCACCGCCGCUGCCGCGCCAUCUCCGACCGCCGUCCAACCACUCUUCAUUCUUUCUUUUGGUGGAGAAUUCUCCGUAGGCGACUUUUGAAUUCUUAAAGUGGUCUCGCAUUUUGUUUACACAAGUCUCUAAGGAUCAAUAAGCGUUUCCCAUCUACAGGUUUGAAGAUGAUGCAUCAUUGGGAUCGGGAUUAGAGAGCUUGUAGUUCAUUUGAUUUUCUAAGUUGGAUUUGGUUUGUUUAAGUGGACUCUAAAACUUAUUGAAUUAGUAACAUUAACUUUGUUUUUCGUUGAUUGGUUUUUGGGAUUUAUUCUGAAAAUGAUUAUUUAUAAACCUACAGUUAGUUUUAUGUUUUCCGCUGCAAAAUUCUGAAUAAGCCGUUACGUUUUCAC